AAACAGAAAGGGCCUUUCUAUAAGCCUGUGUAUCGAACCCAGAUAAAUACUGCAAACAGAAAGGGCCUUUAUAUAAGCCUGUGUAUCGAACCCAGAUAAAUACUGCAAACAGAAAGGGCCUUUAUAUAAGCCUGUGUAUCGAACCCAGAUAAAUACUGCAAACAGAAAGGGCCUUUAUAUAAGCCUGUGUAUCGAACCCAGAUAAAUACUGCAAACAGAAAGGGCCUUUCUAUAAGCCUGUGUAUCGAACCCAGAUAAAUACUGCAUAUUCAACGUUCACUCACAAAAACUCCUCAUUCUUUAUAUUUUACUCCAACCUGUUUGAGGGAUGUUUCGUUCCACCGUGGAACAUUUUAACACGCGUCGUGUGGUACAUCCAUAUUGAACAGAGAGACUGACGUGGACCUUCUUGGUCCAGUCACAGUGACACACACACACACACACCUGGGAGAUAUAUCAUGUCUGGGUCACGGUGUCGUGGCCGGGGGGUCAGAAGCUCAUACAUGAGCACUGAGAGGUGACCAUCGUUUCUGCUGUGUGUGUGUGUGUGUGUGUGUGUGUGUGUGUGUGUGUGUGUGUGUGUGUGUGUGUGUGUGUGUGUGUGUGUGUGUGUGUGUGUGUGUGUGUGUGUGACCCUGUCACCAUUACAGAGAAGCAUACCUAAACAGCGAGAAGUGACUGCUUUGGGGACCACCAUGUCACCUGUGUCGACUGGUCUGACAGCAGAGAGGCAUCACAGGGCUCUCUGUCCUCCCUGAGGCCCGUAUGUCUGCAACCUACAGGCUGGGGGCUGGGAGCUGGGGGCUGGGGCCAAAGACCAGGCAGAGACCCUAUCGUCCCUGAGGUUGCCUGCCUCUUGGCUGGGGGCUGACUGCUGGGGGGCUGGGACCACAGACCAGGCAGAGACAAGAGCAGAGACCCUGUCGUCCCUGAGGUCGCCUGCCUCUUGGCUGGGGGCUGAGAGCUGGGGGACUGGGGCCACAGACCAGGCAGAGACAAGAGCAGAGACCCUGUCGUCCCUGAGGUCACCUGCCUCCCGGCUGGGGCCUAGGAGACCAGAGGCUGUGACUUAAAUGACAAGGUGCUCCCUCUCUGGGACUUGAGGUCCACUGGCCCCUGGCUGGGGGCUGAGGGCUCAGUACCACAGACCAGGGACCCCUGUCGAUCCCCAGGAGCAUCGAGCUUAAGGCUGAGUGCUCAGGGCUGACACCGACACAGAAGGGGGCUGUGACAUAGGUCCCAAUAUGCUCCCUCUCAGGGGCUUGAUGGUCCUAGUCAAUAUCAAGGUUGCGAGGGUAAUGAUUAAGAGACCAGAUUGGGGGGUAUAGGGAACAAGAUGAGGGGCCAGAGAUGACGGGGUAAUAGUUAGAUUAUUAUUAUUUUUCAUUUUUUUUAACCUUUAUUUAACCAGGCAAGUCAGUUAAGAACAAAUUCUUAUUUUCAAUGACGGCCUAGGAACAGUGGGUUAACUGCCUGUUCAGGGGCAGAACGACAGAUUUGUACCUUGUCAGCUCGGGGGUUUGAACUUGCAACCUUCCGGUUACUAGUCCAAUGCUCUAACCACCAGGCUACCCCGUCAUCUAACCCUUAUCCUACAAUCUAACCCUUACAAUACAAUCUAACCCUUACCCUACAAUGGGGCCCAUUGUAGGGUAAGGGUUAGAUUGUAGGGUAAGGGUUAGAUUGUAGGGUUAGAUUGUAGGGUAAGGGUUAGAUUGUAGGAUAAGGGUUAGAUUGUAGGGUUAGAUUGUAGGGCAAGGGUUAGAUUGUAAGGUAAGGGUUAGAUUGUAGGGUUAGAUUGUAAGGUAAGGGUUAGAUUGUAGGAUAAGGGUUAGAUGACGGGGUAAAGGUUAGAUUGUAGGAUAAUGGUUAGAUUAUAGGGUAAGGGUUAGAUGAUGGGAUAAGGGUUAGAUUGUAGGGUAAGGGUUAGAUUGUAGGGUAAGGGCUAGAUUGUAGGGUAAGGGUUAGAUUAAGGGUUAGAUUGUAAGGUAAGGGUUAGAUUGUAGGGUAAGGGUUAGAUUGUAGGAUAAGGGUUAGAUUAAGGGUUAGAUUGUAGGGUAAGGGUUAUAUUGUAGGGUAAGGGUUAGAUUGUAGGGUAAGGGUUAGAUUGUAAGGUAGGGGUUAGAUUGUAAGGUAAGGGUUAGAUUGUAAGGUAAGGGUUAGAUUGUAGGGUAAGGGUUAGAUUGUAGGGUAAGGGUUAGAAUGUAAGGUAAGGGUUAUAUUGUAGGGUAAGGGUUAGAUUGUAAGGUAAGGGUUAUAUUGUAGGGUAAGGGUUAGAUUGUAGGGUUAGAUUGUAGGGUAAGGGUUAGAUUGUAGGGUAAGGGUUAGACUGUAGGAUAAGGGUUAGAUUAAGGGCUAGAUUGUAGGAUAAGGGUUAGAUGACGGGGUAAAGGUUAGAUUGUAGGGUAAUGGUUAGAUUAUAGGGUAAGGGUUAGAUGAUGGGAUAAGGGUUAGAUUGUAGGGUAAGGGUUAGAUUGUAGGGUAAGGGUUAGAUUGUAGGGUAAGUGUUAGAUUGUAGGGUAAGGUUUAGAUUGUAAGGUAAGGGUUAGAUUGUAAGGUAAGGGUUAGAUUGUAGGAUAAUGGUUAGAUUGUAGGGUAAGGGUUAGAUUGUAGGAUAAGGGUUAGAUUGUAGGAUAAGGGUUAGAUUAAGGGUUAGAUUGUAGGAUAAUGGUUAGAUUGUAGGGUAAGGGCUAGAUUGUAGGGUAAGGGUUAGAUUGUAGAGUAAGGGUUAGAUUAAGGGUUAGAUUGUAAGGUAAGGGUUAGAUUGUGGGGUAAGGGUUAGAUUGUAGGGUAAGGGUUAGAUUGUAGGAUAAGGGUUAGAUUGUAGGAUAAGGGUUAGAUUAAGGGUUAGAUUGUAGGGUAAGGGUUAGAUUGUAGGUUAAGGGUUAGAUUGUAGGGUAAGGGUUAGAUUGUAAGGUAAGGGUUAGAUUGUAGGAUAAGGGUUAGAUUGUAAGGUAUGGGUUAGAUUGUAGGGUAAGGGUUAGAUUGUAGGGUAAGGGUUAAAUUGUAGGGUAAGAUUGUAGGGUACGGGUUAGAUUGUAGGAUAAGGGUUAGAUUAAGGGUUAGAUUGUAGGGUAAGGGUUAGAUUGUAGGGUAAGGGUUAGAUUGUAUGAUAAGGGUUAGAUUAAGGGUUAGAUUGUAGGAUAAGGGUUAGAUUGUAGGUUAAGGUUUAGAUUGUAGGGUAAGGGUUAGGUGAUGGGAUAAGGGUUAGGUGAUGGGAUAAGGGUUAGAUGAUGGGAUAAGGGUUAGGUGAUGGGAUAAGGGUUAGAUGAUGGGAUAAGGGUUAGAUGAUGGGAUAAGGUUUAGAUUGUAGGGUAAGGGUUAGAUGAUGGGAUAAGGGUUAGGUGAUGGGAUAAGGUUUAGAUUGUAGGGUAAGGGUUAGAUGAUGGGAUAAGGGUUAGGUGAUGGGAUAAGGGUUAGAUGAUGGGAUAAGGGUUAGAUGAUGGGAUAAGGGUUAGGUGAUGGGAUAAGGGUUAGGUGAUGCCUAGUUUAAAGGUGGUGUGAGGUGCUCUUGCCUUUUAAGUAUUAAAGAACUUAAGAAUAAAAUACCAAGUUGGUUAAAUUAUACUUUUGUCUUUACUAUGGAAGUCAGUUGAGAGGGCCUUUUUCUAUCACUUAUAUCUCUCAAAUGAAUUGACUCCACAGUUUCUAAUUUUGUACAUGGAGGUGAAAACGUCCACAUUUUUCUUUCAAAGAUUGGUGUUAGGUGAACAGCUUUCAGGCAUCGCCAGUCUCCGAGCACGAGGGAUUGCAAUGCCCCUAGAGAAUUCCUUCCUUGUACUGGAGACAUGUGAAAGACAAAAGUACAUUGGAUCCAAUUUAUCCAUGAAGCUGACAAACUGCUGCCACACCAAUUACAGGCUAACAGCAGUCUGUUCUCACACCUGUCAGACAGCAGAAAGCAUUGAGAAAGAGGCUAGAGAUGUGAACAAGUGUUUGUGAUUGUAAAGAGGAGGGAGGGAGGGGGGGUGUCGUGCAAUUUUUAAACUUUCUCAAAUGUUCAUCAGGUGAACAAAUUCGGUGCUUUCUUGAUGCUGUUGUGUACAUCGUUACAAGUAUUGUGUGAGAUAUGAGUUUUAGCGUGUUUCAUAUGUGGCACAGGAGGUACAAAGACUAAAAUCCUUUAGAAAAAACAUAAUUACACCGAAGACAGUUGAAAUUAAACAAUAAAGAAGGAAUUAAGUAAGAGUAAAUUAAUGGGGUUAG
ensembl:lncRNA